ensembl:lncRNA
ACUCUACAGGUCACAAGUUGAGGCUUCUCGGUUUGCCUGACAUCAGCGAAUCGGUCAUGUUCAAAGGGGGCAUUCCCUGGUGUAAACCCCGCCCCCCCAGCGACCAUAAAAGGUAACGGUGGAAUGCAUUGCUUGGCAGUCCAUCUUCUUCAUAAGUGAGACACACACAGAGAGCCCAGGGUGUCCCUCACUGAUGAGCUUGAGCUUUCUGUGAGACUACUGAAGCAUUCGAAGGACGACGCUGGACCAACCUGCCCUUAGACUUUAAAACGCAGCUUCAUAGUCAGCCGUUUAAGGUGAACCUGCCGGUGGGGGUGACAAGCCUCAAGGAUCCUCGUCAGGCCCACAGGCUGCCAGCCGCCGCCUCAGGAUACGGACGCUGCCGUGUGUCUUCUGAUAAAGGACAAGGACAUCAGGAGCUGAGCAGGAGACACACCAGGUGUUGUCUUGAGAUGAUGGAGAUCAAAGAUGGAGAUCACAAGCCUGCACUUUGGGUAAGAGAGAACCGCUCUACACGGUGGUGUCUGUUUUUCACUUUAUCUUUUGUUGGUUUCAGAGAAGGGAUUUUCCUCAAGGAAUGAACGUUAAUGUGUUAUUUUGCUAUGAAUCCAGAAAAGUCCUCACAGAGUCGUGUUGUCUUAAAGAGCAACAUCUCAAAUGACUGAAGAUAUUUCCACCAUUGGCUCCACUCACACUUUGAAACCCACAGCUUUAGCUGCUUUCCAGAGUUGUAAUAUAUUUUGAGAUUAAACAGAACCAGAAACUGGUCAAAAACAGUUUUUAUCUAUCACCUGAUGUUUAUAUGUCUUAAUCCUUUCAUGCUCAUUCACUGAGACAGAAUUAAGUUUCUUAAAUCCCUCCCUGGGCAGCAGUGCUGUGAGCGUGAAUGGGUGAACUGGGGAAAGUGCUUCUUCUCUUCGGUAGGAACACUUUGUAAACGUAUAAGACUCCAUUUAUGUUCCUGGUAAAGGCAAACCAACAACGAAUGAACACUAGUUGCUGACUACUGUGGGUCAUUCAAGCGGUGUGACCAGUGUUUAACCUCCUUCAUCUGGAUCCCAUGUUGAUUGUAAAGUCCAGUGGACAUAGUAUCGCUGCAGGGACCGGAGGGAAAGUCUUCUGUAAUGUCUCGUUAUCAACAAAGUGUUAUUUGUAUUUCAGAUGUCAGAGAGGAGCAUGAAGAAAGGUGAGCGUCACGUCUUUCCCGAGUCACAGUGGCGCAGUGGAAGGCGGAAUACACAAAAGCACCUGAAGCGAGGCGAGUCACACCAUGAAGCGGAAAGAACGUGAUGACAAACUGCUGCUGGAACCUCACCAACUAAUCUGAGAAGGAACAUUUCUGAGGGUUUUCAGUAGUAUCAGUACACUACAAUGGACAGACACACACACGCGCACGCAGACACACACACCCAGCAGGCGAAUAAUGAAGAAGGUAUGUGUGAGGUCGACUGAAGGCUACUUAUAUUCACACGCACUUAACGUGACACUCGUUUUAGGUUUUGACAGGUAGAAAUAUGUCAGAUUAUGAGAUAAUCG